rnacentral:misc_RNA from 1 species
AACGCACAUUGCGCCCGCCAGUAUUCUGGCGGGCAUGCCUGUUCGAGCGUCAUUACAACCCUCAGGCCCCCGGGCCUGGCGUUGGGGAUCGGCGAGGCGCCCCCUGUGGGCACACGCCGUCCCCUAAAUACAGUGGCGGUCCCGCCGCAGCUUCCAUUGCGUAGUAGCUAACACCUCGCACUGGAGAGCGGCGCGGCCAUGCCGUGAAACACCCAACUUCUGAAUGUUGACCUCGAAUCAGGUAGGAAUACCCGCUGAACUUAA